UAUUUUUGCUUUGCUUUCUGUCACCAACAGUAUGGUUCGAAAUGCAUAGAUAGCAAGAGGUCUAGAUAUUGACUCAUCAUUUUCUGCGCCAUUGCUGUUACGAAGGGAGAAAAAUCAAGUCCACAGAAAGCUGCAAAAGCCUAGUGAAGAAAUUCAGUAUUCUUCCCAUCUGAUGGCUCAAGUUCCUUUCAGUGGAAAACCAGCAUCCCCAAAUUUAAAAUCUAAAGAGAAAAAUGAGGAUCGCCCAGGAUGCCUGUGUUUAGAGGCUGUAAAGCGGACAACAGCAAGAUAUAAUCAGUGCAAUGUCAGCCUCACGGAAGAGUCAAAACUGAUUUCAUUUUCAUUACAAGUUCUCGUCAAAGAAGAGGAUAACUACCGAUUAAAAUAACUCUCCACCUCUAGGGUGGUUCCAUCACAACAUGAGUCAGUUACUUCCUGGAAUGGGACCAACGCAAAGAACAAUCCUAAAGCCUAAUUCACUGCAAACAUUUCCCUGAAUGCAUGGCAUUCAUUGGCAUUUGUUUAAACAAGGGCGCUGCAGUUAUAGCCUAGGAAGAAAGCUAGCAAUCAGAAUGUGCAAUGCCAAAGCUUCUUUCAAAAAGGAGCUGAUAAUACACAAUGCAUAUAAAUUACAUUUGAAUUGCAGUGGGCUACAUCCUUUUACCCGUUUGUAAGUUACAGAAGAUGGACUUGGAAGAUACACCUAUAUGAAGUCGUUUGCCAGGAUCUUGCUGUGGUUCCUCACUUUGGCCUGUAUUCUGUCAGAAUGCCAUCGAAGCACACUAGUGACUGUGCAGUGCCGGUCUGUGAGCGCUGUGACGUUCCUUUCUUCUUAGCUCCUCCCUACGUUGAACUCACUAAUCAGCCAUCCUCACAGCCUGUCGGGGUGGUGGAUGCCGCUGGGUUUGGAUGAGCGAGUGCACUGGAGUCAGGCACCCAGCUCCAGCACGCCCGUGGGAACGUUCCUCAGCGAAGGCAGUAUUUCCAAUGAGCCUCAUAGUCCUCAAUGAGAACAUUGGGCAACUAAAGCAGUCCAUGAACCUCGGG
rnacentral:lncRNA from 1 species